rnacentral:lncRNA from 1 species
AAUCAUGUGGACAUCUCUGAGAAUGAGGGGACUGGGUGACUUUGCAGUGUCUGCUUUCUAAGUUUCAAAGUGACUUUCCAGGCAAGCUGCGCAUAUCUUGGGAUCUUCACAGCACAGUGGCUGGGAAGGCAGGCGGACCCGUCUAUCAGCUUCUCCCUGAAUAACUGGGAGCUGAAACAGGAAGCCCCAUGACACAGUUGAUCGAAAAUGACACAGACACAGAAAAAUCAGGACGUGCCCCCAGCAGCACCCCUACCUGCUGCCUGCUGAUCACGGCUGGGAGGCCCGUCCAGGGUUCCCACCCGGGAACGGACUCUUAGCUACUCAGUGCUCACGGGUGCUGGGCCUGCAGAGCUUUUCGGAUGCUCUCUUACAGCUGGUGGGAUUCUUGCGGGGGCAGGGAUCGAGUCAAACCUUGGAAAUGACGUCAUUCUGAACUCAUCUGCCUUUAUCCAGAAGACUACCAAAGCAAACCAGAGGACCAGAGAACAGCAGCUGCUCUGGACAAAGAGGGGAGGACACCCACACCCACAUACCAAGUUCUGGUUGACUUCUACAGCAGAAGAAGCAGGAGACACAAGAAGGUAGCCACUCCUAUUCGUGGGGAGGGACCAGGUUUCAUAUGGGCCUUUUCUUUGGUUGGAACAGGAGAUGUUCACGAUGGAAGAAAACAGAAUAAUUCAGUAAACACCUCGACCCACAUCCCCCAAAUAAAUGAUCACUUUUACAUGUUACGUCCCCAUACCAACUUUGAAAACUAAAAACUUAAUGAAACACAGCUCACAAACAUGAAAUUAUCUUUAAGUUCAUAACCAAGCAAAGUGAGAGGCUAGAUAGAAAGGGACCCCCCACCUCUCUCAUCCUUCAGGAACAGGAUCCACAGAAGGGAAUUCCCAGGCAAGUCAGUACCAAUUUUUGUCCCACAGUACAGAUGAGUCCCAACAUGGGGCGUGGGAAUGAGAGCCUGCUUCUCUUAUUCUGGACCCCAAGUAGAGGAGACAGAGCUGAGGAUGAACCCCAAGGCAGCCUUUGCCCAGCCCCAGGGAGAGGGUGCUAACACCUGCAGGUCUGAAGGGAAAGCCAGCCAGGCAGGGAGGCAGGGCACAGAAACAAAUAAUACAUUCUUUAGGGAGUGCAAUCUAAUGCACGCCCCAGCCAAGUUUCAUUGAAAAGGAUAACAAAAAUCUCUUCACCAAUUUGCCACCUUGCAAGGACAAUUUAAUAAUGUUUAUUUUGUUAUUAGAAAAUUGUUCCAUUUGUGAAUCUUUAGUAACACUCCUCCCCAGGUGAGUCCUUUUCCUCUCUCUCUCUCUCUCUCUCUCUCUCUCUCUCUCUCUCUCUCUCUCUCUCUCUCAAACUGGCCUUUUCUAGGUAGCUGAACUAGGUGUCUUUAGCCCAUUGUGGAGUUUAACCAGAUCAGGUAGACCCAUGUGCUGGCUGAGGUCACCAUCAGCCUGUAUCCUGGUCCAUUAGCUAGAAUCCCAGCCAGCCAAGGCUGAAAAUACUCGGAUGCAAUGGAGCCCCCGGCUUACACCUGGCUUCUAGGUUGAUGCCUCUGUUUGUGAACUGAUACCUCGCUUAAAAGUAAUAAGAGGUCAUCAUCCUGAGUGAGGUAACCCAAUCACAAAAGAACUCACAUGAUAUGUACUCACUGAUAAGUGGAUAUUAGCCCA